AUAAGAUUAAAUUACAUGCUUGCAAAUAUCAUUAAUAGGUUAACAUACCCUUCUGAACAUGUCAUCAUGUCAGCCUCUCUGUCAUUUUAAGAUGGAGCAGCGUCUUUCUCCAAGUCUCUCCUCUGUUUCUUAACAUUUAAAAGUACACCUAUUUAUACCUUAGGUGUCAUCAUUUUAGAGUUACCAUAGUUCAUAUGUGAAAAAGUACCACUUCUUUUACUUUAUUCAUUUUAGGACCUCCCUUAACUUGGCAAACAUACAAGGCCAUAACUAAAGGGUGUAUACGUCACGGAAAUUUUCCUGACUUAGUUCAAGAUGGCAUCUUAAAGUCUGAAUAGGUUAUCUGUUGUUUAUACUAAGUCGUAAGUGUACAGUCGUGGGAGAUUCCCGGAUUUGGGGAAGUUCCAUUAACUUGGGGUUACCACAGUAUAUUGUGUACUGCAAGAGUCGUAGCAUAGCCUUGAAGCUUGUUUAUGCAUUAUUGUUAUUGUAAUUCGUCUGGGACAAAAUGGCGCAAACAUAUUAUGCACUGAGGUUAUUGCUUAAAGAAACAGUUAUGAAAAACAAUAUGUUCCAUUUCU